rnacentral:rRNA from 1 species
GGCUCAGGAUGAACGCUAGCUACAGGCUUAACACAUGCAAGUCGAGGGGAAACGAUAUUGGAAGCUUGCUUCUGAUAGGCGUCGACCGGCGCACGGGUGAGUAACGCGUAUCCAACCUGCCCAUCACUUGGGGAUAACCUUGCGAAAGUAAGACUAAUACCCAAUGACGUCUCUAGAAGACAUCUGAAAGAGAUUAAAGAUUUAUCGGUGAUGGAUGGGGAUGCGUCUGAUUAGCUUGUUGGCGGGUAACGGCCCACCAAGGCGACGAUCAGUAGGGGUUCUGAGAGGAAGGUCCCCCACAUUGGAACUGAGACACGGUCCAAACUCCUACGGGAGGCAGCAGUGAGGAAUAUUGGUCAAUGGACGAGAGUCUGAACCAGCCAAGUAGCGUGCAGGAUGACGGCCCUAUGGGUUGUAAACUGCUUUUAUAAGGGAAUAAAGUGGGAGUCGUGACUCUUUUGCAUGUACCUUAUGAAUAAGGACCGGCUAAUUCCGUG